CUAACCAGGAAGGCAAUGUUGCCAACCAGAGGGAACAUCUAAUUCUUCUCCUUGCUAAUAUUCACAUUCAGAAAGCUAAUAAGCAAUCUGUCUUGAAGGAUCUUGCAGGCAAAGGACACCAAGUGAAUUAGAUAGAGAGGUUAAGAACUUGAGGGUGGCAUUUACUGACCUGUUUUUGAAGCAUAACACUUUCAAAGAAACUGCAAAGCCAUCGAGAUAUUGAUGCAAAGAAUGGAAGAAUGUAUUUCACUAAUUUUUGUAUACAUUUCUUGUUUUGUAUUUGGUGAUAAAGGAAUCUGAAUUGGGCAUAAAUUAUGUUGUAAUAUGAUUUCUUUAGACUAGACUAGUAGAUUAAAUAUUGUAAUUACAUUUGAGUAAUUAAUAAAAAUCUAUUUAUGUUAUCUUA